rnacentral:rRNA from 1 species
GAUGAACGCUGGCGGCGUGCUUAACACAUGCAAGUCGAACGAUGAAGCUCAGCUUGCUGGGUGGAUUAGUGGCGAACGGGUGAGUAACACGUGAGUAACCUGCCCUUAACUCUGGGAUAAGCCUGGGAAACUAGGUCUAAUACCGGAUAGGAGCGCCUACCGCAUGGUGGGUGUUGGAAAAAUUUAUCGGUUUUGGAUGGACUCGCGGCCUAUCAGCUUGUUGGUGGGGUAAUGGCUCACCAAGGCGACGACGGGUAGCCGGCCUGAGAGGGUGACCGGCCACACUGGGACUGAGACACGGCCCAGACUCCUACGGGAGGCAGCAGUGGGGAAUAUUGCACAAUGGGCGAAAGCCUGAUGCAGCGACGCCGCGUGAGGGAUGACGGCCUUCGGGUUGUAAACCUCUUUCAGUAGGGAAGAAGCGAAAGUGACGGUACCUGCAGAAGAAGCACCGGCUAACUACGUG